rnacentral:rRNA from 1 species
UACAGAGGGUGCAAGCGUUGUUCGGAAUUAUUGGGCGUAAAGGGCGCGUAGGCGGUGCGGUAAGUCUGUAGUGAAAUCUCUGGGCUCAACUCAGAGUCUGCUGCAGAAACUGCCGUGCUUGAGUGUGGGAGAGGAUAGCGGAACACCCGGUGUAGAGGUGAAAUUCGUAGAUAUCGGGUAGAACACCAGUGGCGAAGGCGGCUAUCUGGACGGACACUGACGCUGAGACGCGAAAGCGUGGGGAGCAAACAGG